rnacentral:lncRNA from 1 species
CGUAGAGAUUUUCUAUAUAAGUGAACCUUCAGCUAUAUACACAAGGGGGCAGAAAAAUUUACAAAAAAGAAGAGCAAUUUUAAGACAAAAAAAUUAAGGCUUCCACAAAACCCGAAACCCAUCUUUUUUUUAGUCAACUGGCUGCACACCCUCCUUUGAAAAAAAAGAGCCGCCGCCCAAGGAAGCUCUUCCUUCUCCUUUCAGCCGACCAGAGCUCCCCUUCAUUUUUUUCCCUGCCAUCAACACAGACCCACAGACACCCGAUCACGGCACCAACACUCCCUUCUCCCUGAUUCCAGCCUUUUCCCUUUGGCCUUUCUUCUUCCCCUCAGCCGACCAAAAAGCACACAAGCCUCUUUUCUCCCUCUCAGCCGUCCCUAUCUUCCCCCACAGACCUAUAACCCCAGGACAGAUUUGCCUCUCUUCCCCGAUCAUUUCCUUCAUCUCCUCCUUCCAGCAGCGGUUUCUCCGCCUCGACACAGCCAAGACAGCCCCCCUCAUCUCUCUCCGAAACCCGAGUAGACCCACCUCCUCCAGCUGUCGCUCUACUUCUCAAAGCCACAGCUGAUUCCCCAUUCUCUCCUGAACAACCCGAAACCAACCCCCAACAGCCAACAGAUCAUCUCUCUCCAGAACCCAAGCCAUCCUUCCCAUUCAACCAGCAGCUGGCCACAGACCCAACCAUCGUUGCUACCAACAGGGUUGAAGACCAUCAACGCCUUGACCACCACUGCAACUCCCUCUACAACCGCAAGGUCUUUCCAUCGAAAGAGGAAAGAACAACAAACCAGAGCAGAAAAACAGACCCGAGAACAAAUCCGGAAAGGAGAAAAGAAAAUUAAAAUCGACUGCUUGUUGUGUUUCUUCUUUUGCAGAUAACGAUGGUUGUCACUGCCGGCGAGGACAGUGAGGAAGGGAGGAAGACGUUGCAGAUCUCCCCUGUAAUUGUUUUUCCGGCGGCGCGUGAAUCCACGCGCCGCCACUUUUCUUGCAUUGCCAGAACCCUUCCCAGCAGUUUCCUGGAUUUUUAGGGACUAUUAUGUAAUUUUUUAUUUGUGUGAUGUGAUGUGAUGUUUGUUUUAUUUUAAAUUUGUGUUAUUUGUAGUUAUAUAUGGAUGUAUAAAAAAUAUAAAAAUAAAAAGGGAUGUGUGUGUGUUUGUAUUUUUUUUUAUGUAUGUUAUUGAAUUAUAAAAUUAAAAAGAUAGAAAAAAUAAAUUUAAUGUUUUAAUUUGUAUAUACAAAUAAAAUCAUGUUGUAUUUCCCGGGAAAAUAUAAGAACAUGUUUCUAUAUACUUU